rnacentral:rRNA from 1 species
GAUGAACGCUGGCGGCGUGCUUAACACAUGCAAGUCGAACGGUGAACGCGGAGCUUGCUCUGUGGGAUCAGUGGCGAACGGGUGAGUAACACGUGAGCAACCUGCCCCUGACUCUGGGAUAAGCGCUGGAAACGGCGUCUAAUACUGGAUAUGUGACGUGACCGCAUGGUCUGCGUUUGGAAAGAUUUUUCGGUUGGGGAUGGGCUCGCGGCCUAUCAGCUUGUUGGUGAGGUAAUGGCUAACCAAGGCGUCGACGGGUAGCCGGCCUGAGAGGGUGACCGGCCACACUGGGACUGAGGCACGGCCCAGACUCCUACGGUAGGCAGCAGUGGGGAAUAUUGCACAAUGGGCGCAAGCCUGAUGCAGCAACGCCGCGUGAGGGAUGACGGCCUUCGGGUUGUAAACCUCUUUUAGCAGGGAAGAAGCGAAAGUGACGGUACCUGCAGAAAAAGCGCCGGCUAACUACGUG